UACGAAGGGGGCUAGCGUUGUUCGGAAUCACUGGGCGUAAAGCGCACGUAGGCGGAUUUUAAGUCAGGGGUGAAAUCCCGAGGCUCAACCUCGGAACUGCCUUUGAUACUGGAGAUCUUGAGUCCGGAAGAGGUAAGUGGAACUGCGAGUGUAGAGGUGAAAUUCGUAGAUAUUCGCAAGAACACCAGUGGCGAAGGCGGCUUACUGGUCCGGAACUGACGCUGAGGUGCGAAAGCGUGGGGAGCAACA
rnacentral:rRNA from 1 species